CUUCUAUCCACAACUGGAAGGAGAGGUUCUUCUACAUCCGAUGCCCGACCUUGGAGCUGGGAUUACCCCCCUGGGGCUCUUUGAGGGAUUUCGUUCGUCGGGCUUCGACCCUGGAAAGGGACGACCUCGAGGGCUCCAGUAAGCUCGAGGCCUAUCCAGCCCCCUUCCUCUCUGAACUUCUGAAGGAACAACUCUUGUUCAACAUCGGCCUGAGCCCUCUUGACC
rnacentral:lncRNA from 1 species